GACGAACGCUGGCGGCGUGCUUAACACAUGCAAGUCGAACGGACAGACCCUGCUUUUGUUGGUUGCUCGAUUGGCGAACGGGUGAGUAACACAUGAGUAUCAUGCCCUUGUCUUUGUGAUAACUUCAGGAGACUGGGGCUCAUAUCGCAUAUGAUCUCCUGCUGCAUGUGGGUGAUUGGAAAGUUCCGGCGGUUGUGGAUGGACUCGCUGCUUAUCAGCCGGUUGGUGGGGUAGGGGUUUACCAAGGCUUUGACGGGUAGCCGGCCUGGGAGGGUUACCGGCCACCUUGGGACUGAGAUACGGACCAGACUCCUACGGGAGGCAGCAGGGGGGAAUAUUGCACAAUGGGCGGAAGCCUGAUGUAGCAAUGCCGCGUGCGGGAUGACGGCCUUCGGGUUGUAAACCGCUUUCGACUGUGCCGAAGCGUGAGUGACGGUAAUGGGUAAAGAAGCACCGGCUAACUACGUG
rnacentral:rRNA from 1 species